rnacentral:rRNA from 1 species
GAUGAACGCUAGCUACAGGCUUAACACAUGCAAGUCGAGGGGAAACGACAUCGAAAGCUUGCUUUUGAUGGGCGUCGACCGGCGCACGGGUGAGUAACGCGUAUCCAACCUGCCCACCACUUGGGGAUAACCUUGCGAAAGUAAGACUAAUACCCAAUGACGUCUCUAGAAGACAUCUGAAAGAGAUUAAAGAUUUAUCGGUGAUGGAUGGGGAUGCGUCUGAUUAGCUUGUUGGCGGGGUAACGGCCCACCAAGGCUACGAUCAGUAGGGGUUCUGAGAGGAAGGUCCCCCACAUUGGAACUGAGACACGGUCCAAACUCCUACGGGAGGCAGCAGUGAGGAAUAUUGGUCAAUGGACGAGAGUCUGAACCAGCCAAGUAGCGUGCAGGAUGACGGCCCUAUGGGUUGUAAACUGCUUUUAUAAGGGAAUAACGUGAGCCUCGUGAGGCUUUUUGCAUGUACCUUAUGAAUAAGGACCGGCUAAUUCCGUGCCAGCCGCCGCCGUAA